rnacentral:lncRNA from 1 species
GUCAGGAGGAGCUGUGUGCUAUCCUGAGCAUUGGAGGAUGUUUACUGGAUGCUAGUAGCACACAGUUGUGAUGACCCAAGAUGUCACUAGACAUUGCCAAAUAUAACCUGAGGGGUAAAUUGCCCAUGCACUGCACUUGAUUCUUUUACUCAGAAAUGAACAUGGAGCAAUUUACGUGCACCGGUAAAAUGCGGCUACUCUCGGAGUCCCUUUGGGCCAUACCCCAGCCAGGGAAGUUCCCAGAGAUGGGAGCAGAGGAUUAUCUCCAGGCAGUGCUCAAGGUGAGACAUGAAAGCCCAAUCAAUCAAGGAAACUCUAAUUGGAACCAUUACCUUACCUAAGCAGACUCUCUUUUGGAAGCUCACCCUGCACGCAGAAAAAGAACAAAUCACCUGCUGCCUCGGCAGGACAGGAUUUCUGCCAAUCCCACCUGUAAGCAGCGUUCAUGGCUUCCAGACAAAGUGGGGGCCCGGGGCCUGCAGAACAGUCGGCCACAUUCACCAGCCUGUCUCUCCUCUGGACCUCUUGGCACAAGCUUUUACUCUCCAGACUGUGUGUGUUUGGUUGAAUUGAAAUAAACACAGCAGGAUUUUGUUUUAGUUUGUUGUUUGUUUUGCAGAACGAGGUCUUAGAGGAAGGACUUCCCAGCCAAACUUGACCCCACACAGGCCAGAGAGAAGCGGUAGGGAGGGCGGCGAGAAGGAACUAUGAAGUAAAAUGGGGACUGGUGUGGGGACUGACUUCCUCCCCCAAAAACCUGGAAC